rnacentral:tRNA from 1 species
GCUCCCAUGGCGUAGUGGUCACUGCACUCGCCUUGCACGCGGGAGACCCGGGUUCGAUUCCUGGCGAGGUCA